CACGCCGUAAACGAUGAGUACUAGGUGUCGGGGGUAUCGACCCCCCCUGUGCCGCAGUAAACACAAUAAGUACUCCGCCUGGGAAGUACGAUCGCAAGAUUAAAACUCAAAGGAAUUGACGGGGACCCGCACAAGCAGCGGAGCAUGUGGUUUAAUUCGAAGCAACGCGAAGAACCUGACCUGGACUUGACAUCCCCUGAAUGACUCGUAAUGGAGGAAGCCCCACGGGGCAGGGAGACAGGUGG
rnacentral:rRNA from 1 species